GCUGGCUAUAAUUCAUCAAUAUAAUUGAGAACUAGCAUGAACAAACUUUUGACUGAAUAAGUUUUAAACAUGAACAAACAUUUCUGAACCAACUGGUAAUGAAGGUGAUCAGCCUUUCAUACCUGACUUAUACAUGCAAGAUGUACAGAGUACAAUUUUCAUGGCAACCAACAGUGAUUAACCAUAAGCUUGAAUAAAACACUCUUAGUAGAGUUAAGUAAAAUGAAACUUUCCUGAACCGUUGAUCACCGCAACGCAAUUUAUAACGCUUUACCUGAAGACCUAAUAUUUGUAAUAUAGAUCUCCAAUAUUAGAAUAAUAUCAUCACAGUAUAAUACUAUUAUAUUUAUAUACACAUAAUAACCUAAACACAUAACACAUAAGCCUAUUAGUCUAUACAGCACAUAAGACAUAACAUCAAGUCAAACUAUUUAAGUCUGAGUUAAAACCGACACAAUUCUAUCAUCCCGACGGUCUAGUCAGUCAACACUCGAGUUUAAGUUCAAUUAAACUCUGCCUACAUCCUUAACAAUUAUCACCGAUAAUUUCUUAGCAGAUAAAACAAUUUUCAUUGACUUGCAAUAAAUUUUCAGAUAAUUAAUAUCAUUUAUCAACAUUUUUCAAUCAUUAAAACCGUAUUUAAAUAAAUUAAAUACCACAUAAUUCCUUAAUCAUUAAUAUUCAUUUAAUAUAAAAUAUUAAUGAAAAUCAUUACAUAAUAUUAUAAUAUAUUUAUAAUAUAUCAAAGUAUUUUUAAUACCUUAAAAUCAUAAUUAUAUAAUUUUUAAACACUUAAAUCCAUUAUCCGAUAAUUGCUAUUAAUAUUCAAAUAUUAAUAUUUUCAUGCCAAAAUAUCAAAAGUUAUAUUUUAUAACUUAAAAUAAUUUUCUAAUACUUAAAUCAUUUUUAUAUGAUUUUUAAAUCAUUAAUACUAUUUUUCCAUAAUUUAUUUAAUAUAUAUAUUAAAUAAACUAAUUAUCAUUAAUAUAAAUUAUUAAUGAAAUUUAUCACAAAAUAUUAAAAGUCAUCAAAAAUAACUUACAAUAUUUUCUAACACCAUAAAAUAAUUUUUCAUGAUUUUUCAUGAAUUAAAACUAUUUUUAAAUAAUUUAUUUAAUAGAAUAAUUAAAUAAAUAAAUACCUUUUAUAUUCCAAAAAUAUUAAAUAUUUUCAAAAUAUACUUAAAAUAAUUAAAACUUAUUUUUCAGAAUUUAAAAUAAUUUUUCAGAAUUUAAUUAGUAUUUUUUAUAAUUAAAAACCAUUUUUUAUCUAUUUUUAAAUAAUUUUCGGAAAUUAGUAAUUAAUUUCUUAAUUAAACUGUCGCUAAAAGGGCCAUAUAGCGACAGAACCGUCGCUAUAGGUGUUCUUGGUGUUCAUGAGCCUGCGCAGAUUUCCUUGUCAGACACCAAGUUGGUAUGUUUGACCGAAAUUUAAUCCAUGACACUUAGGCUUUCUGACCAGAAUCUACUGUUUAUAUUGUAGCAUAAGUGUAAUACUACCAUCAUCAAUCAAUUUCAUGUCCAUAACAUAUUAUUACAGAGAGAUCUAGGCCAACUAAAUUGAUGUCAGACCUGUUCUUCAAAUUCUGGAAAUUCCAGAUUUGAAGAACAGCCUUAGGUGCAUACUUUGAUGCCUUGUAUCAUGCAAUUUAUGCAUUGUUUGUGUGAUCUAAAGGUUCUAUUUUGUAGUAAUGAUGUCAGGGUACAAUUAUAUUACAUUAUAUCAACCUAAAAACAUCACAACUAAGAGAUCAAAGCCGGUCAAUUUCUGACAACAACUCGGCUGAUGAAGAUCUGGGUUUUCCAGAAAACCUUCAUCAAGCAGUUUGGUCAACGCCGUUUGACCGUAAUUAAUUUUGAUUCUGUGAACUUUCUAGGUGAUCUAAAGACAUUAAUGUGUAGUAAUUACACCAGACUACAACAUCAACACAACAACUUAGCCCAACACUUAAAUCACAGCAAGAUUAAGAGCUUCAAAAAGGUUGUCAGAUAACAUAGAAAUUUCUGGGCUGCCCAGAAAUCAUAUUUUGUGAUCGGUCAACUAGGUUUGACCGUUCAUAACUUUUGAUCUAGACAAUAUCUGGACUAGUUUCAAGUUGGAGAUUAAAGACCAAAUAACAUACUACAACUACAAACUCUUAAAACACUAAAACAAUUAACACAUACGGAUUUAUGGGGUCUGACAUUAUGCUGUCAGACCAUAUUUUUCCCAUUUUCCAGAUUUCUUAAAAUGCCAAAUCCGAGCACUUUGAUGUUAUGGGUUUGUGUUUUGACAACCCAGAUCAUCAUUUGACACCCUAUUACACAUGUUUAACCAACAAACAACAACAUUAAACAUCAAAAUCAUAGAUUUGCAAGGUUAGGGUUUUAUACCACUUUUUGAGCUUUGAUUCAUGAAUCUGACUUUGGAUUCUGUUCUUGGCUUGCUAAAACUCGAUCAUGGCUUCAUCUUUUCUUUCUCUCUCACUCUAGAUUUCGAAUUUUAGAGAGAGAGGGUCUUGGAAGAAAAUGCAAAAUAAAGUGAGCAUUAUCUCUCUUUUAAUCUUAUAUAUGUGAUAUGAUUCAAUGCAUGAUGCUGAUUUUGCUGAGAUUACUGGUCAUAUUAGUCACAUGCUAGGCUAGGGUUUGGUGAGCAACUCACCAUAGGCUUAGAUCUACAAGCAAUGUCCAAUAAUGCAACAAAGGGUAAUUUAGUCUUUUCCAUUCUAAUUUUAAUGGCAUUUUAGUAAAUGGCCAAACCCUUAGGGUUUAGGGUUUGAGAGGGUUUAGGGUUUGGAAAAUUUUUAGGAUUUAGGGUUUGAACCCUCAAGUUUAACAAUUUGAUUUUCUAAAAUUUCCAAAUUUAGAUUUUCAAAAAUAGAAAUUUAAUAUUUCUAAAUUAUAAUUAGGAUUCUAUUAUAAUAAUUAAGAUUUCCUAAUCAUAAAUUCAAUCUUGCUAAUUAGGAUUAGCAUUUCCUAAUACAAUCGCUAAUUAAGCAAUUAGGGUCAAAAUGGUCAUUAGGGUUUAUAAACCACUAAUUAGGGUUUCUAAUAGAAAAUAAAUUUUCUAAAUUAGAAAUUAGAUUUUCGUAAUUAGAUUAGGGUUUCCUAAUUACUUAACCUUAAAAUUAGGAUUAAUAUAUCCUAAUUAACAUUAAAUUACUAAAUUAACACUUAGGUUUCCCUAAUUAUAAAAUUAGGGUUUUUUUUACCGAAAUUAGGGUUUAACAACUAUUAGGGUUUGCUAACUAAUUAAGUGUUACCCUAAUUAAUAUUAUAAUUAUUUACAUUUACGCCAUUAAGUUCCCGAUUUAGGGUUUCAUGCACCGAAUUAGGGUUUCGGAUUCUCGAAACUGAAAUUAGGGUUUCCAGAACCAGUUUCUAGGGUUUCUUGUCAGACGUUAGGGUUUUCUAACUGAACGUUGGCGUUCUUAAUAUACGAUUAGGGUUUGACACAUAUAUAAUUAAUCUGGUCAAUCCUUGACCCUCAACCACAUUCUGAACACAUACAUAACCAUAAACACAGAACAUAGUCACAUAAAUCCUUAAUCCUGAAUAAUUCACCUAAAUCCUUCACAGAAUUUUGAAAUCCUCAAAAUUCAAUCCUAAUAACAUUAAACGCAUACACUUAUUUUCUGUUUAGGUCUAAUAUUUGACCUUAAAUCAAUCAUUUAUGAUUUUAAUAAUUUGUCUAAAUUCUCGGGUUGUCACAUUCACCCCUCCUUAUAAGAAUUUCGUCCCCGAAAUUCACCUUAAACCUUACACCAAAUAGCUUACGCCAUUCAUCAUACACCAUUCACACAUAUUUGCUUGCUACCCAAUUCACCACUCACAAGAGUAAAAGUUUUCAAAUUAUACUGAGGGGUCAUAUAGACCAUGAACACAUAGAUUUGAUGGUUUUGAUCAUACCGCAAAACAAUACAUUACUUGGUCUGUUUACAAUCACAAAGAAGGUAAACUACCGUUGUUAGUACUUUAGGUGAUCAGCCUAUCGUACUCGUACGUCAUGUAUAACGUAUUAAUCAUUUCUAGCGAAUAUUUACGCUACUAGAUUGGAUUAUUUAUCCAAACAUUAUCGUUCACCUCAGUCUUAUCAUAAGAUUCCGCACCAAAACAAUUUGGUUCGGGAAAUUUCUUUCAAUGAACACUUAGAGUUUUCAUAAACAUUAGUCUAGCUGAUUCAAAUAGCAUAGACUCAUAUCAAUAAUUCAAUUCAAUCGAAUUAUUUAGAUGUAGCCAAACCCCGUUGGCAAAUUAAACUUUUUGAAAACAUUUUCGAGAAUGACGUCAUGAUGCCGUACUGUAUUAACAAUCCGUUGAGGAUGCCGUCAUUGUAUGACUUUGUCAUAACACAUCAUACAAUAGUGGAACAGCGACUUCAGGUCAAAUUCACACUAAGUAUUCCUGUAUUUACAACUCCAUCACAUUUUUAUCAUCUCUGCACCAGGUUACAUGGUACAUGAGCGAUAAUUAAAAUACAUUUUGAUAUUUCAAAUCAUUUGAGUCUAGCUGAAAUAAGUAGCAUAGACUGUAUUUUAAACCGUUUCAAAAAUGGUUACGAGUCUACAUUUUUUUUAAAAGGCACAUAGUGCGUAUUUAGCUUGAUGUCAAAAUUUCAAAGUUUAGCAUAGCUAGGAGUUUAGGGAAACCUAAGUCUCCACUAAUGAUCAUUUGCUUAACAAUCUAUCUGUUCCUAUAAUCCUUAACACUCCAUUCACACACAACUAUACCCAGUUCAUAAAACCACACUUAUGAGUCCAUAAAUUGCCACAAUCAUAUGAGUUUAAGAACUUAUCCUAGUCUGACGUUUGGCGUCCGUUCACUGAGGGGUUCAUAAACGUUUCAUAUAACUAUGAAUCAAGUAUGUCAAAUAAGUAUGAGUGUUAAGAACUCGUACUUAAUCCUAUAUUCUCUACCUAUGAUCUAUCUAUUUGUUAUACACAUUAGAAAGGAAUCACCCUCUUAAUCUGCAUAUAGCAAAUAGCGCGACACAAGCAUUUCAACGAUUAUCAAUGCCAGAAACUAAGUGGUUGUCAAACCAAACUCGACCACUAAUCAAUAUAGGAAGCUAAGUGAACAAUUCCCCGCCCAUACAAAGAAUUGGUCAACCUAACCACUACAUCAACUAGGAAGCUAAGUGACUCUAAAACCAAGUACAAAUUCCCCGCCCAUACAAGGAAUCAUACAACUCAGCUGCCGACAUGAGUCCUCAAUUCAAAUCCCCACCUAAUCUUAACCCCCUUUUUCCAUACGAAUUUCAUUUAAUCCGUAUCCAUAAUCCACAACCCUUUCAUGAGCUUUUCAUUGUACAAUUUCAUAGUACAACUGAUACACAACAUUUUGCUGUAGACUUUUCAAUCAUCAGAUUGAUUCUUUCAGGCUGUCAUAACCUUAUCAGAUCACGGGGUGAUCUCAUCGUAUAUAUUACGAUUCAAUUCUAUGACUUGAUCGUUUUGUUUUACGAUCUCUUAUCACUGCACUACUGUUCACCACUUCUGUUCACCACUAUUACCAGAGUUAGAGAACUCUAUGUCUUUACACUCAUCGAGAUUCAUCUUUGAAUCUUACCGACCAACUAACUCUAUUUGAGUUAGUACUUAAUCCUAUUCAGUGUGGUUAUUGGUCUCAGGUAUUACUACCUAAGCUUCAUAACCAACAACUUUGAUACCAAUUGUAGCAUCCUCGAAUCCAGGUCCCAAAUCACCUCGGAUCCGGUACACUAUUUCUAUUACUAAUUGCGGAAGAUAUAAACAUAAAUUGUUUAUACAUUAAACUUACACACUUUUCCCCAAAAUCGAGUAACCUUAACUUAAACACAAUUCAUAAACUUUCUAACAUAUAACACAUUUAUCAAACUAUACUAUUACAAAAUAGCCGCACAUUUGAUCACAAACUGAACUUGGCCUUAACCUUUUCCUGUAUCUGAACGCAUUCGUAUUAUUUGCAAUGUUUUAUCAUGAUAUAGCAAGGGUGAGCAUGAAAGUUGCCCAGCAAGUUUAAAUACAAUUUAAGGAUAUAUCAUGAUUGAAAGAGUUAGAAUAAAGAGCUGGCUAUAAUUCUUCAAUAUAAUUGAGAACUAGCAUGAACAAACUUUUGACUGAACAAGUUUUAAACAUGAACAAACAUUUCUGAACCAACUGGUAAUGAAGGUGAUCAACCUUUCAUACCUGACUUAUACAUGCAAGAUGUACAGAGUACAAUUUUCGUGGCAACCAACAAUGAUUAACCAUAAGCUUGAAUAAAAC
rnacentral:lncRNA from 1 species